rnacentral:lncRNA from 1 species
GAACGCAUUCGCCUUAUUUGCAAUGUUUUAUCAUGAUAUAGCAAGGGUGAGCAUGAAAGUUGCCCAGCAAGUUUAAAUACAAUUUCAGGAUAUAUCAUGAUUGAAGAGUAUGAAUAAUAAGCUGGCUAUAAUUCAUCAAUAUAAUUGAGAACUAGCACGAACAAACUUUUGACUGAACAAGUUUUAAACAUGAACAAAUAUUUCUGAACCAACCGGUAAUGAAGGUGAUCAACCUUUCAUACCUGACUUAUACAUGCAAGAUGUACAGAGUACGAUUUUCAUGGCAAUCAGCAAUGAUUAACCAUAAGCUUGAAUAAAACACUCUUAGUAGAGUUAAGUAAAAACAACUUGCCUGAACCGUUGAUUACCGCUACGCAAUUUAUUUUGCCUUAUCCGAAGACCUAAUAUUAGUAAUAUAGAUUUCCAAUAUUAGAAUAAUAUCAUCACAAUAUAAUUCUGUUAUAUUUAUACACACAGAAUAACCUAAACACAUAACACAUAAGCCUAUCAGUCUAUACAGCACAUAAGACAUAGCAUCAAGUCAAACUAUUUAAGUCUGAGUUGAAACCGACACAAUUUUAUCAUCCCGACGGUAUAUCGAGUUUAAGUUCAAUUAAACUCUGCCUAAACACUUAACAAUUAUCACAGAUAAUUUCUUAUCAGUCAAAACAUUUUUCCUAGGCUCGUAAUAAUUUUCGGAUAAUUAUUACCAUUUAUCAUGAUUUUCCAAUCAUUAAUAUCGUAUUUAUAUGAAUUAAAUACCACAUAAUUCAUUAAUCAUUAAUAUUCAUUUAAUAUAAAAUAUUAAUGAAAAUCAUAACAUAAUAUUAUAAUAUAAUUAUAAUAUAUCAAAGUAUUUUUAAUACCUUAAAAUCAUAAUUAUAUGAUUUUUAAACACUUAAAUCCAUUAUCCGAUAAUUGAUAUUAAUAUUAAAAUAUUAAUAUUUUCAUGCCAAAAUAUCAAAAGUUAUAUUUUAUAACUUAAAAUAUUUUUAUAACACUUAAAUCAUUUUUAUAUGAUUUUUAAAUCAUUAAUUCUAUGUUUCCUUAAUUUAUUUAAUAUAUUUAUUAAAUAAACUAAUUACCAUUAAUAAUAAAUUAUUAAUGAAAUUUAUCACAAAAUAUUAAAAGUCAUCAAAAAUAACUUAAAAUAUUUUCUAACACCAUAAUAUAAUUUUUCAUGAUUUUUCAUGAAUUAAAACCAUUUUUAAAUAAUUUAUUUAAUAUUAUAAUUAAAUAAAUAAAUACAAUUUAUAUUCCAAAAAUAAUAUAUAUUUUCGAAAUAUACUCCAAAUAAUUAAAAUCUAUUUUUCAGACUUUAAAAUAAAUUUUUGAAAUUUAUUAUGCAUUUUUAAUAAUUUAAAAUCAUUUAUUUCAAUUUAUUAAUAAUUAAUUUCUAUUUUCUGAAACUAAAGUGUCACUAAAGGGCCCUAUAGCGACAGAACCGUCGCUAUAGGUGUUCUUGGUGUUCUUGGCCAAUUUCCAGAUCUUCAUGUCAGAGUUCGAGGUUACCACUUUAACCAGAAAUAAAUUCAUGUUCCUUUUAUAAUCUGGGCAGAUAAUGUUACCUAACAUGUAGUAUAAGUGUAAUACUAUUAUUAUCAAUCAAUAACAUGGCCAUCCAACAACAAAACAGCAAGAUCUGGGUAAUUAAAAACCUUGUCAGAGCACGCCUAGGUUUUCUGGGCAACCCAGAAACCCAAGGCAGUUCGAGUGUCUACAUUUGAAGCUUUAAAUAUUAAUCUUCUGGGUUCGGUUUAUGUGAUCUAGUGAUUUCAUCUUGUAGUCCUGAUACCAGGGAACAAUUAUAUAACAACAGGUCAUCAUAUUAUCAUCAUAACAAGGAGAUAAAGGCUAGUCAAACUAGGGAUCAGGACACGGUUCUUGAAGAUCUGGGUUUCCCAGAAAUCUUCAACUAGUCAGUUGGUCAACAGUGGUUUGACCAUGCAUUUCUACGAUCCUGGUACAAAUUUGGGAGAUCUAAUAGCAUGACUUUGUAGUUCACAUACCCACCUACAACAUUCAAUCAACAACAUAGCCAAAACACUAUCAUACUGCAAGAUCUAAGGUACAGAAAAUAUUGUCAGGCGAGAUCUGGGUUUCUGGGUUGCCCAGAAACCCAUUUUUAUGACUGGUCAACGCGGUUUGACCGCUUAUAUCUUUCGAUCUACACUUGAUCCGACCAUGAUUCCAGUUUUAGAUCACAGUGCUCAUGACAUAGAACACAUCCAAAACAUAAAACAUACAAAAACGCUAUCACCUAAAGAUUUAUGGCGUCUAACAUUCGACUGGCAGGUCAUAAUUUUCCCAUUUUUCCAGAUUUCUAAAAAUGCUUAAUUCGUGCAUCUAAGUGUUAUAUAUCCUUGAUCUAUCAACCCAGAUCACUUAUAGACACCAUAUUACACAUAUCUAACCAAUCAAUUGCAACAUUUAACAACAAAUCAUGAGAUUUCGAAUUUUAGGGUUCAUAUACCUUUGAGCUUUGAUUUUGAUUUUCUGACUUCUUAUUCUGUUCUUAGGUUGCUAUGAACUGAUCAUGCUUCAUCUCAUCACUCUAUAUCUUUCUAACUCCCGAAUUUUAGAGAGAGAGAAUAGUUGGGAGAAAAUGAAAAUGCAAGCAACUUUUCUCUCUCCUUAGAUCUAUAUAAUUAUACACAUGCAAUGUAUUUGGCUGAGUUAGAUGGCUGAGAAUUGACACCUAGAUAGGCUAGAGCUAGGAUUUGUUCAACCACUCAACAUCUUGGCAAGAUUUGCAAGCUACUGAAUAUGAAAUGUGACAUAAGGGCAUUUUGGACAUUUCCAUGCUAUUUUAAUUCUAAAAUUGGUAUUUGAUCAAACCCUUAGGGUUUAGGGUUUGGAGCAUUUAGGAUUUAAGUUUUAACCCUUAACUUCCAAAUUAAAUUUCUAAAAUUUCCAAUUUAGGUUUUCAAAAAUAGAAAAUUAAUAUUUCUAACUUAUAAUUAAGAUUUUCUAAUUAUAUACAAAUAUCUUAAUCACAAAUUAAAUCUUGCUCAUUAGGAUUAUUAUUUCCUAACUAAAAUAGCUAAUUAAGCAAUUAGGGUCAAAAUGAUCAUUAGGGUUUAUAAACCACUAAUUAGGGUUUCUAAUAGAGAAUAAAUUUUCUAAAUUAGAAAUUAAAUCUCGUAGUUAGAUUUGGUUUUCCUAAUUACUUAACCUUAAAAUUAGGAUUAAUAUAUCCUAAUUAACAUUAAAUUACUAAAUUAACACUUAGGUUUCCCUAAUUAUAAAAUUAGGGUUUUUAAUACCGAAAUUAGGGUUUUCAAAAUGUGAAAUUAGGGUUUACUAAUUAAUUAAGCUUUACCCUAAUUAAUAGUAUAAUUAAUAGCACUAAAGCCUUAAAAUUCUCCGUUAUCUUCCCAGAUUAGGGUUUCAAAUUAUCGAAAAUCUAAAAUUAGGUUUUCCACAUCGGGUAUUAGGGUUUUCUAAUGAACAAUUAAGGUUUCAGAUAAUUCAUUAGGGUUUUCCCUAAUUAAUUUAUAAUUAAUAACGUUAAACCUUGUACAUAGCAUUGCAUUCCCAAUCUAAGGUUUUUAAUAUCCGAAUUAGGGUUUCGGACUCCUGGAACUGAAACUAGGGUUUCCAGAACCGAUUUUUAGGGUUUCUUAUCAGACGUUAAAGUUUUCUAACUGAACGCUGUCGUUCUUAAUAUACGAUUAGGGUUUGACACAUAUAUUCUUUAUCUGAUCAACCCUUGACCCUUAACCAUAAUCAGUACACUCAUAUAACCAUAAACACUUAAUCUUGAAUAAUUCACUUAAAUCCUUCACAGAAUUUUGAAAUCCUCAAAAUUCCAUCCCAAUAACAUCAAAUGCAUACACUUAUUUUCUGUCUAGGUCUAUUAUUUGACCUUAAAUUAAUCAUUUAAGAUUUUAAUAAAUUGUCUAAAUUCUUGGGUUGUCACAUUCACCCUUCCUUAUAAGAAUUUCGUCCCCGAAAUUCAACUUCCACCUUACACCAAAUAGCUUACACCAUUCAUAAUACACCAUUCACACACAUUUGCUUGCUACCCAAUUCACCACUCACAAGAGUAAAAGUUUUCAAAUUAUAUUGAGGGUUCAUAUAGACCAUGAACACUUAGUUUUAACGGUAGUGAUCAUACCGCAAAACAAUACAUUACUUGGUCUAUUUACAAUCACAAAGAAGGUAAACUACCAUUACUAGUACUUUAGGUGAUUAGCCUAUCGUACUCUUACGUCAUGCAUAACGUAUUAAUCAUUUCUAGCGAAUAUUUACGCUACUAGAUUGGAUUAUUUAUCCAAACAUUAUCAUUCACCUCAGUCUUAUCAUAAGAUUCCGCACCAAAACAAUUUGGUUCGGGAAAAUCUUUCAAUGAACACUUAAGAGUUUUCUUAACAUUAGUCUAGCUGAAUCAAAUAGCAUAGACUCAUAUCAAUAAUUCAAUUCAAUCGAAUUAUUUAGGUGUAGCCAAACCCCGUUGGUAAAUUAAAAUUUUUGAAAACAUUUUUCGAGAAUGACGCCAUGAUGUCGUACUGUAUUAACAGUCCGUUUGAGGAUGCCGUCAUUUGGUGAUUUUAUCAUGUUACAUCAUACCAUAGUGGAAUAGUGACUUUUUGUCAAAUUCACACUAAGUAAUACUGCAUUGAUGACUCCAUCAUUUUUAUCAUCUCUGCACCAGGUUACAUGGUACAUAAGUGAUAAAUAAAAAUAAUUUUUGAUAUUUCAAAUCAUUUGCGUCUAGCCGAAAUAAGUAGCAUAGACUGUACUUUAAACCAUUUCAAAAAUGGUUACGAGUCUACAUUUUUUUUUUCAAAAGGCACAUAGUGCGUAUUUAGCUUGAUGUCAAAAUUUCGAAGUUUAGCAUAACUAGGAGUUUAGGAAAACCUAAGUCUCCACUAAUGAUCAUUUGCUUAAACAUUCUAUCUAUUCCUAUUAUCCUUAACACUUCAUUCACACACAAUUAUACCCAGUUCAUAAAACAACACUUAUGAGUUCAUAGCCUGGCCACAAUUAUAUGAGUUUAAGAACUUACCCUAGUCUGACCUUUGGCGUCCGUUCGCUGAGGGGCUCAUAAACAUUUCAUAUAACUAUAAGUCAAGAAUGUCACAUAAGUAUGAGUUCUAAGAACUCGUACUUAAUACUAUAUUCUCUACCUAUGACCUAUUUAUCUGUAUAUACAAAUAGCGUGACACAACAUUUCAAUGAUUAUCAAUGCCAGCAACUAAGUAGUUUUUACACCAAGUACAAUUCCCCGCCCAUACAAGAAAUUAUACAACUCAGUUGCCGACACGAGUCCUCAUUGAAAUCCCCACCUAAUCUUAACCCCAUUUUUCCAUACGAAUUUCAUUUAAUCCGUAUCCAUAAUCCAUAACUCUUUCAUGAGUUUUCAUAGUACAAUUUCAUUGUACAACUUACACACAGCGUCAUACUGUAAACUUUUCAAUCAUCAGAUUGAUUCUUUCUGGCUGUCAUAACCUUAUCAGAUCACGGGGUGAUCUCAUCGUAUAUAUUACGAUUUAUUUCUAUGCCUUGAUCAUUUUGUUUUACGAUCUCCUAUCACUGCACUUCUGCUCACCACUAUUACCAGAGUUAAGGAACUCUGUGCCUUUACACUCGUCGAGAUUCGUCUUUGAAUCUUACUGACACACUAACUCGAUUUGAGUUAGUACUUAAUCCUAAUCACUGCGGUUAUUGGUCUCAGGUAUUACUACCGAAGCUUCAUAACCAACAGCUUUGAUACCAACUGUAGCAUCCCCGAAUCCGGGCCCCAAAUCGCCGCGGAUUCGGUACACUAAUCAUUCUAUAACUGUUUGCGGAAGAUAUAAACAUAAAUUGUUUAUACAUUAAACUUUACACAUAUUUCCCCAAAAUCGAGUAACCUUAACUUAUACACAAAUCAUAACUAUCUAUCACAUAACAAUAUUUAUCAAAAUAUGCUAUUACAAACUAGCCGCACAUAUUAUCCCAAGCUGAACUUGGCAUUAACCUUUUCCUGUAUCCGAACGCAUUCGCCUUAUCUGCAAUGUUUUAUCAUGAUAUAGCAAGGGUGAGCAUGAAAGUUGCCCAACAAGUUUAAAUACAAUUUUAGGAUAUAUCAUGAUUGAAGAGUAUGAAUAAUAAGUUGGCUAUAAUUCAUCAAUAUAAUUGAGAACUAGCACGAACAAACUUUUGACUGAACAAGUUUUAAACAUGAACAAACAUUUCUGAACCAACCGGUAAUGAAGGUGAUCAGCCUUUCAUACCUGACUUAUACAUGCAAGAUGUACAGAGUACAAUUUUCAUGGCAAUCAACAAUGAUUAACCAUAAGCUUGAAUAAAACACUCUUAGUAGAGUUAAG